AGGCGCGUAGCUCAGUUGGUUAGAGCAUCACCUUGACAUGGUGGGGGUCGUUGGUUCGAAUCCAAUCGCGCCUACCA
rnacentral:tRNA from 22 species